rnacentral:rRNA from 1 species
GGCCUACGGGGGGCUGCAGUGGGGAAUUUUGGACAAUGGGGGCAACCCUGAUCCAGCAAUGCCGCGUGUGUGAAGAAGGCCUUCGGGUUGUAAAGCACUUUUGUCCGGAAAGAAAUCGCGCUGGUUAAUACCUGGCGUGGAUGACGGUACCGGAAGAAUAAGCACCGGCUAACUACGUGCCAGCAGCCGCGGUCAUACGUAGGGUGCGAGCGUUAAUCGGAAUUACUGGGCGUAAAGCGUGCGCAGGCGGUUGUGUAAGACAGGCGUGAAAUCCCCGGGCUCAACGUGGGAAUUGCGCUUGUGACUGCAAGGCUAGAGUAUGUCAGAGGGUGGUAGAAUUCCACGUGUAGCAGUGAAAUGCGUAGAGAUGUUGAGGAAUACCGAUGGCGAAGGCAGCCCCCUGGGACGUCACUGACGCUCAUGCACGAAAGCGUGGGGAGCAAACAGGAUUAGAUACCCUGGUAGUC